AUGUUAUCUCAGAUGCAUGUAUGCAGGUACUGGCCAAGGUGGGUUCUACACGUGCGUGUGGCCAAGAGCCCAAGACUACGUCAAGGUUCAGCGUACGGCUCACCUAGCAAUCCUGCAUCGACAUCGUCCUACACUACAUCUGCAUCGAGCCGGCAAACCUGCACCGUCGCCCACCACAAUCUUCGAGCCACGUCCAUAACCGCUGCACCAAGCUAUCUUCGCCAAGCGAUCUGCACCGACCCGCGCCACAUCAUCGAGUUGUACGACUACAUCGCAACUGAUAAAAAAAAAUCUUCGUCGAGUACAUCUACAAGAAGCGACCACGACAUGUACCAUCCACACGCCAGGCUGGUGUGGAAUGCGUGCAAUUCUUCAUCGACUUCUUCAGCACGACACGACAUCGACACCCCGUCGCCACGAGGGACGCCUCCAAGCGACGCAUCAUCGUCGACAUGUCGCUGCAUCGCCGACACUUCACCGCCAAGGUCUUCAUCAACAUGGUCUUCACCAACAUCAUCGUCGACACACCGCCACCGCCUCGUCCACAAGAUGGACACCUAG
rnacentral:rRNA from 1 species